rnacentral:rRNA from 1 species
GACGAACGCUGGCGGCGUGCUUAACACAUGCAAGUCGAACGGGCCCGCCCCUGUUUUUGGGGGUGGGUUGAGUGGCGAACGGGUGAGUAUCACGUGAGUAACCUGCCCCCUGCUCCUGGAUAACUGCUUGAAAGGGCGGCUAAUACGGGGUGUGCCGGCUGGUCCGCAUGGGCCUGGUCGGGAUAGUUUCAUCUUCGGGUGUUUCGGUGGGGGAUGGGCUCGCGGCCUAUCAGCUUGUUGGUGGGGUGAUGGCCCACCAAGGCGGUGACGGGUAGCCGGCCUGGGAGGGUGGGCGGCCACACUGGGACUGAGACACGGCCCAGACUCCUGCGGGAGGCAGCAGUGGGGGGUAUUGCACAAUGGGCGGAAGCCUGAUGCAGCGACGGCGCGUGAGGGAUGGAGGCCUUCGGGUUGUGAACCUCUUUCUCCGGUGGUGAAGGCCCUGUCCGUUGCGGCGGGGUUGACGGUAGCCGGGUAUGAAGCGCCGGCUAACUACGUG